rnacentral:rRNA from 1 species
GACGAACGCUGGCGGCGUGCUUAACACAUGCAAGUCGAACGGAAAGGCCCUGCUUUUGUGGGGUGCUCGAGUGGCGAACGGGUGAGUAACACGUGAGUAACCUGCCCUUGACUUUGGGAUAACUUCAGGAAACUGGGGCUAAUACCGGAUAGGAGCUCCUGCUGCAUGGUGGGGGUUGGAAAGUUUCGGCGGUUGGGGAUGGACUCGCGGCUUAUCAGCUUGUUGGUGGGGUAGUGGCUUACCAAGGCUUUGACGGGUAGCCGGCCUGAGAGGGUGACCGGCCACAUUGGGACUGAGAUACGGCCCAGACUCCUACGGGAGGCAGCAGUGGGGAAUAUUGCACAAUGGGCGGAAGCCUGAUGCAGCAACGCCGCGUGCGGGAUGACGGCCUUCGGGUUGUAAACCGCUUUUGCCUGUGACGAAGCGUGAGUGACGGGAAUGGGUAAAGAAGCACCGGCUAACUACGU